GAACCACUUAACAUCAACAAGUAGAGCCCAUCUUGAGGAGGCCACCCAGAGCUGGCUCUGUAAAUUCUACUUCGUCAACACCUGUACCUUCAUGACCUCAUACCCACAGUGGUAUUUUCUUUUCCCUCUGACAUAUUUGGGAUAUGUGAUGCCAUCAGUGGCUCCAAGCAUUAAAUACUGAGGUUUUUUUAAAAAUGUGCCCAGAGUCCACCUAGAAACUUUGGUAUAUAGAACAUAAAUCACUAUUUUAUCAGAUAGAUUAUCUAUAUUUGGUGAAAACUAUUAGUUUAUACUUGGUAUACUUUCUUAUAAAUCUAGCAAAACAAAAUACGUUAUUCCAUCAAGACACAUUGAACUACAUCUCCAGCCUGCAUCUCUGUCUGAUGCACUCCAGAGUGUAUUCCAUAUACAGUGCACACUUACUUUGGUAAUUAGAGACAAACCUGUUGAUCAGCCUGGAUCCAGUUCUAAUGCGCAGAACCAGAAUCUCAGAGGGUCAGGAGAUUAACACACAGCUAGAUUCAAGAGUCAUUUUCUAUCUCUUGAGGAUAGACUGUGUAUUUUAUGUGUCCUUUAAUUCCGGUAAUAAGGCUGAAGGAGGGGAUUAAAAACCGGACAUCACAUUAAAAACAAAGUUGGUAGGUUAAUGUCCUGCCUAGUAUCCUGUCACAGCAGCGAUCUUAGAUUUGAACUGCUUACUUUUAGAGAUAAAUGAAACAAUCUAAAUGUAUUAGAAUCCUUUCACUUACUAAAUGACCAGGUUUGUUGGAGUAUUUAUGCUGAGCUGUUUGCACGUGCACGUGGUAAAGGUCGGAGCACGUGUGAGGGGCUCCACAGAGAGGCAAAGCUUCCUCCUAGAAAGUAAAUCACACAUCCUACUGUGUUUUCUCUCUGGCAUUUCUACAGAAUUCUGUCUUUAACACCAUAUUUUCUAAAAGAGAGUCCACCUUUUCUUGCCAAAGCUAUUAUUAAGUGAUAGAGACCAGAGAAUAGCAAUUUCUGUCAGCACAGUUAAAUUUUUUAAAUUGUUUACAAAAUAUAGAACACAUUACUUGACAACACAUGUAUUGACUUGUAAGAAUUUUUUUUAAUAAGGAUUAAUUUUUUGUGCAAUAAGGAGUCUCGUGUUUCUUUAAAAUAGGGCUGGCAAGAUGGCUUAGCAGCUAAGAUCACUGGCUGUUUUUCCAGAGGACCUGCAUUCGAUUCCUAGCACCCACGUGGCAGCUCACAACCCUCUGUAACACUAGUUACAGGAGACUCUUUUGGCCUCUUCAGCAUUGCACGCAUGUGGUGUGCCUAGACAUAACAAGCAGGCAAAGCACCCCCCCCCCCCCCACACACACACACAGACAAAAUAAAUCCCUUAAAAAGUAAAUGGAUAAAAUGUUCAAAGUUGAUAACAGAUAAAGAUGCAAAUACCACUCAGUACUUAAUUUGAGUAUGAUGUAUAAAUCCAAUCGACUGCUGUUUCCAUUCACUCUUCAACAAGUAACUCUGUAGAUGUUCUGUUCUAUAACAGUAUUAUUGAUCAAAGUUGUCCAAAGAUUUAAUGCAGACCCCAUCUUUGGUUUAUUUUAUUUCCAAUUAAAGCUGCUUGAUAUUAUUAUGCAGUUUAUAUCUACAUUAAACUCAGAUGCUUAAGUAAUUGCUAUAAGACUUUAGUUCAUUUCACACUGCCUUAAAACAUUAGUUUGUAUUACACUGCUUUGCUCAUUAUCUGUCCUUUCUAAUGGUAUGCAAUUUUCCCACAAAAUAAAGGCUGAUUUCCUUAUUGCUGCCUUACCAGUAAGUUUAUUUGCAGUGCUGAAGUGCAUGAUACGGCUUUCUGCGUAUAAUUCAUGUUGCUGCAUUGAACAUGAAUGUGAAUACUUUAGCGUUUGUGUGCUUCCAAUAUUAAGAAUACUAAAUAAGUAUAUCUGACUACUAAACUGCAUGGUGGCUGUCUAUAUAAUGUCUAUUACUUUCUAUAGUGUGUAUAUUCAAAGAUUAAUCAUAUCUUCUAAGUCGGAAAAUAAUUUUUGGAGAUCUUUUAAGGUAAAGUAUAUUAUAGUGCACAUUAUUUAAGCUGGAAAAGUUUAAACUGCUUCUAUUUAAAUAUAUUAUAUAUGUGGCAAUUCUUUUUAUAUUAAAAUUAUUUCCUCAUAAGCUUCACCUUUAAAUGGUGCAAGUUGAAGUCGGUCUGUAAUCAGAUGAAUAGAAUCUGAUGCAGUGUGGUCCAGCUAACCCAAUGGGAGAUGUAUGAAGGCAGUGAACGUUUAAAGCAUGCAUCACAAAGAUAUAAAACACCUGUAAGGCAGUGGUUCUCAGCCUGUGGGUCAUGACCCCUUUGGGGUCACAUAUCAGAUAUUUACAGUAUGACCCAUAACAGUGGCAAAAUGACAAUUAUGAAGGAAGUAUCAACAACAAGAAUUUUAUGUUUGGGGGGAGGGGGUCACCACAACAUGAGGAUCUGUAUUAAAGGGUCACAGCAUUGGGAAGGUUGAGAACCACUGGUUCGGAGGAUAAGAUCUGGCAGCCCAAAUAGCACCUCUGGGCAAAGCAAACCUUCAUGCUUCCUCUUUCCGGAUGAACACAGGCUGUGCCCAGGCAUACAGCGUGGAGAGGACAAGCCUAGUUCAGUUUUAGUUCCCACUAAAGGAACUUAGAGUGCCAAGGAAGAGCGUCAAGAAUAUCAGUUAAGGUCAUACUUUCCCAUAUGUGUUCUAGCAAGUUAACACCGCGGAAACUCAAGGUAGUCACUGAGAUCCAUCCUGAUGCUGAGACUUUACCUGUAAGAGGCCUUUUCUGUUACAAGACCCCACUGGCUGGGCAGAGGAGGACUCUAUUGAUUACAGAUCGGUGGUCACUGUGACGCUUACUGCAGUUACAUUUUAUGCCCUGCCCUGUCUUUCUGGGCUCUCCUGGGUAGUGAUUUCAUCCUGGUGAGCCUUUCAUAAAAUUCUGAGCACAUAAACUAUAAUCCUAGCCCACAGCAUGGUCUUAUCUGUUGCUGUGGGGUUUUUCGUGAAGUUUGCUAUGCAUGGCGGCUCACACCCAUAAUCUCUGAACUCAGAUGGAUUACUAUAAAUUCCAGGCGAGCCUGGGCUGCAGCGUUAGACCCUGUCUCCUCAGACUUUUAAGAAAUUGCAUUGCCUGGAGUCAGAGACUUACAGUUCCUCCCUUAGCCCCCAAACUAUAAAACCUCUGAAACAUACCAUUGUGUACAAAUUAAUAAUUCAUAAAAUUUCAACAGUCAAACAGCUUCUUUGGAAGUACAUAAUGACAGACCAAACUAUUCUAGUUGUGUAUUUCUCACCAGGGCUUGGCUAUUUCCAUGGCGACGUGCGCUGGCUCUGUUAUUAAUCCUCAUUUGUAACUUUGUCCCAAACCCUUCAUGUAGCUACUAUUUCAGCCAAGCUUAUCCCUGCUACUUGUAGCUCUCCUUGUUUGCCAUGAAUAGCUCUUCCCUCUUGCCUUCCUUUGCAUCGCUGGUGAGGCCUGGGUCUUUCUUCAUUCUCUGUGAAACAUGCUGAGUAGCCCAUUCCUGCCACCAAAAUAUCAAAGGAAAGUUGUUGCUGAUAAAAAUAAAAA
rnacentral:lncRNA from 1 species